rnacentral:rRNA from 1 species
GCGUCAUAGAGGGUGAGAAUCCCGUCUUUGGCACGGAAACCCCAGGGCUUUUGUGAUGCGCUCUCGAAGAGUCGAGUUGUUUGGGAAUGCAGCUCAAAAUGGGUGGUGAACUCCAUCUAAAGCUAAAUAUUGGCGAGAGACCGAUAGCGAACAAGUACCGUGAGGGAAAGAUGAAAAGCACUUUGGAAAGAGAGUGAAACAGUACGUGAAAUUGUUGAAAGGGAAACGCUUGAAGUCAGUCGCGUCGACCGAGACUCAGCCUUGCCCUUGGCUUGGUGUACUUCUCGGCUGACGGGUCAGCAUCAAUUUUGCCCCUUGGAUAAUGGCGAGGGAAAUGUGACACCUUUACGGUGUGUUAUAGUCUCUUGUCGCAUGCAAGGGUUGGGAUUGAGGAACUCAGCACGCACCUUUGGGUGUCGGGGCUUUGCCCACGAUACGUGCUUAGGAUGUUGGCGUAAUGGCUUUAAACGACCCGUCUUGAAACACGGACCAAGGAGUCUAACAUGCCUGCGAGUGUUCGGGUGGAAAACUCGUGCGCGCAAUGAAAGUGAAAGUUGGGACCUCUGUCGUGGAGGGCACCGACGCCCGGACCAGACCUUCUGUGACGGCUCUGCGGUAAAGCAUGUAUGUUAGGACCCGAAAGAUGGUGAACUAUGCCUGAAUAGGGUGAAGCCAGAGGAAACUCUGGUGGAGGCUCGUAGCGAUUCUGACGUGCAAAUCGAUCGUCAAAUUUGGGUAUAGGGGCGAAAGACUAAUCGAACCAUCUAGUAGCUGGUUCCUGCCGAA